AGUGGCGGACGGGUGAGUAAUGUCUGGGAAACUGCCUGAUGGAGGGGGAUAACUACUGGAAACGGUAGCUAAUACCGCAUACCAUCAGAUGUGCCCAGAUGGGAUUAGCUUGUUGGUGGGGUAACGGCUCACCAAGGCGACGAUCCCUAGCUGGUCUGAGAGGAUGACCAGCUAUACUGGAGCUGAGACACGGUCCAGACUCAGACGUGAGGCAGCAGUGGGGAUUAUUGCACAAUGGGCGCAAGCCUGAUGCAGCCAUGCCGCGUGUAUGAAGAAGGCCUUCGGGUUGUAAAGUACUUUCAGCGGUGAGGCGUUACCCGCAGAAGAAGCACCGGCUAACUCCGUGCCAGCAGCCGCGGUAAUAC
rnacentral:rRNA from 1 species